rnacentral:rRNA from 1 species
UUUAGGAUGAGCCCGCGGCCUAUCAGCUUGUUGGUGGGGUGAUGGCCUACCAAGGCGACGACGGGUAGCCGGCCUGAGAGGGCGACCGGCCACACUGGGACUGAGACACGGCCCAGACUCCUACGGGAGGCAGCAGUGGGGAAUAUUGCACAAUGGGCGAAAGCCUGAUGCAGCGACGCCGCGUGAGGGAUGACGGCCUUCGGGUUGUAAACCUCUUUCAGCAGGGAGCGAACGCGAGAGUGACGGUACCUCCAGAUGAGCCGGCCC